GGUCAAGUGAAGAAGCGCAUACGGUGGAUGCCUUGGCAGUCAGAGGCGAUGAAAGACGUGGUAGCCUGCGAUAAGCUUUGGGGAGUCGGCAAACAGACUGUGAUCCAGAGAUCUCUGAAUGGGGGAACCCAGCCAGCAUAAGCUGGUUAUCUUGUACUGAAUACAUAGGUGCAAGAGGCGAACCAGGGGAACUGAAACAUCUAAGUACCCUGAGGAAAAGAAAUCAACCGAGAUUCCCUUAGUAGUGGCGAGCGAACGGGGACCAGCCCUUAAGCUGGUUUGAGAUUAGUGGAACGCUCUGGAAAGUGCGGCCAUAGUGGGUGAUAGCCCCGUACACGAAAAUCUCUUAUCAAUGAAAUCGAGUAGGACGGAGCACGAGAAACUUUGUCUGAAUAUGGGGGGACCAUCCUCCAAGGCUAAAUACUACUGACUGACCGAUAGUGAACCAGUACCGUGAGGGAAAGGCGAAAAGAACCCCGGAGAGGGGAGUGAAAUAGAACCUGAAACCGUAUGCGUACAAGCAGUGGGAGCCUACUUUGUUGGGUGACUGCGUACCUUUUGUAUAAUGGGUCAGCGACUUAUAUUCAGUGGCGAGCUUAACCGAAUAGGGGAGGCGUAGCGAAAGCGAGUCUUAAUAGGGCGUUUAGUCGCUGGGUAUAGACCCGAAACCGGGCGAUCUAUCCAUGGGCAGGUUGAAGGUUGGGUAACACUAACUGGAGGACCGAACCGACUACCGUUGAAAAGUUAGCGGAUGACCUGUGGAUCGGAGUGAAAGGCUAAUCAAGCUCGGAGAUAGCUGGUUCUCCUCGAAAGCUAUUUAGGUAGCGCCUCGUGUAUCACUGCUGGGGGUAGAGCACUGUUUCGGCUAGGGGGUCAUCCCGACUUACCAAACCGAUGCAAACUCCGAAUACCAGCAAGUGUCAGCACGGGAGACACACGGCGGGUGCUAACGUCCGUCGUGAAGAGGGAAACAACCCAGACCGCCAGCUAAGGUCCCAAAGUCAUGGUUAAGUGGGAAACGAUGUGGGAAGGCACAGACAGCCAGGAUGUUGGCUUAGAAGCAGCCAUCAUUUAAAGAAAGCGUAAUAGCUCACUGGUCGAGUCGGCCUGCGCGGAAGAUGUAACGGGGCUAAACCAUGCACCGAAGCUGCGGCAGCGACGCUUAUGCGUUGUUGGGUAGGGGAGCGUUCUGUAAGCCGUUGAAGGUGGCCUGUGAGGGUUGCUGGAGGUAUCAGAAGUGCGAAUGCUGACAUAAGUAACGAUAAAGCGGGUGAAAAGCCCGCUCGCCGGAAGACCAAGGGUUCCUGUCCAACGUUAAUCGGGGCAGGGUGAGUCGACCCCUAAGGCGAGGCCGAAAGGCGUAGUCGAUGGGAAACAGGUUAAUAUUCCUGUACUUGGUGUUACUGCGAAGGGGGGACGGAGAAGGCUAUGUUAGCCGGGCGACGGUUGUCCCGGUUUAAGCAUGUAGGCUGGUUAUCCAGGUAAAUCCGGAUAAUCAAGGCUGAGGUGUGAUGACGAGGUACUACGGUGCAGAAGUAACAAAUGCCUGCUUCCAGGAAAAGCCUCUAAGCAUCANNNNNNNNNNNNNNNNNNNNNNNNNNNNNNNNNNNNNNNNNNNNNNNNNNUGAAGAGGGAAACAACCCAGACCGCCAGCUAAGGUCCCAAAGUCAUGGUUAAGUGGGAAACGAUGUGGGAAGGCAUAGACAGCCAGGAUGUUGGCUUAGAAGCAGCCAUCAUUUAAAGAAAGCGUAAUAGCUCACUGGUCGAGUCGGCCUGCGCGGAAGAUGUAACGGGGCUAAACCAUGCACCGAAGCUGCGGCAGCGACGCUUAGGCGUUGUUGGGUAGGGGAGCGUUCUGUAAGCCGUUGAAGGUGGCCUGUGAGGGUUGCUGGAGGUAUCAGAAGUGCGAAUGCUGACAUAAGUAACGAUAAAGCGGGUGAAAAGCCCGCUCGCCGGAAGACCAAGGGUUCCUGUCCAACGUUAAUCGGGGCAGGGUGAGUCGACCCCUAAGGCGAGGCUGAAAAGCGUAGUCGAUGGGAAACAGGUUAAUAUUCCUGUACUUGGUGUUACUGCGAAGGGGGGACGGAGAAGGCUAGGCUGGCCGGGCGACGGUUGUCCCGGUUUAAGCGUGUAGGGGGUGUGACCUGGUAAAUCCGGUUGCAUAUCAACCCUGAGGCGUGAUGACGAUGCACUACGGUGCAGAAGUAGUUGAUGCCCUGCUUCCAGGAAAAUCCUCUAAGCUCCAGGUAACAUUAAAUCGUACCCCAAACCGACACAGGUGGUCAGGUAGAGAAUACCAAGGCGCUUGAGAGAACUCGGGUGAAGGAACUAGGCAAAAUGGUGCCGUAACUUCGGGAGAAGGCACGCUGGCAUGUAGGUGAAGUCCCUCGCGGAUGGAGCUGAAGCCAGUCGAAGAUACCAGCUGGCUGCAACUGUUUAAUAAAAACACAGCACUGUGCAAACACGAAAGUGGACGUAUACGGUGUGACGCCUGCCCGGUGCUGGAAGGUUAAUUGAUGGGGUCAGCCGCAAGGCGAAGCUCUUGAUCGAAGCCCCAGUAAACGGCGGCCGUAACUAUAACGGUCCUAAGGUAGCGAAAUUCCUUGUCGGGUAAGUUCCGACCUGCACGAAUGGCGUAAUGAUGGGGGCGCUGUCUCCACCCGAGGCUCAGUGAAAUCGAAAUCGCCGUGAAGAUGCGGUGUACCCGCGGCUAGACGGAAAGACCCCGUGAACCUUUACUGCAGCUUGACAUUGAACUUUGAUCUUACUUGUGUAGGAUAGGUGGGAGGCUUAGAAGUAGCGACGCCAGUUGCUAUGGAGCCAUCCUUGAAAUACCACCCUGGUAAUAUUGAGGUUCUAACUCUGUCCCGUUAUCCGGGACGAGGACCAUGUCUGGUGGGUAGUUUGACUGGGGCGGUCUCCUCCUAAAGAGUAACGGAGGAGUACGAAGGUGCGCUCAGCGUGGUCGGAAAUCACGCGUAGAGUAUAAAGGCANAAGCGCGCUUAACUGCGAGACCCACAAGUCGAGCAGGUACGAAAGUAGGUCUUAGUGAUCCGGUGGUCUGAAUGGAAGGGCCAUCGCUCACGGAUAAAAGGUACUCCGGGGAUAACAGGCUGAUACCGCCCAAGAGUUCAUAUCGACGGCGGUGUUUGGCACCUCGAUGUCGGCUCAUCACAUCCUGGGGCUGAAGUAGGUCCCAAGGGUAUGGCUGUUCGCCAUUUAAAGUGGUACGCGAGCUGGGUUUAGAACGUCGUGAGACAGUUCGGUCCCUAUCUGCCGUGGGCGUUGGAAGAUUGAGAGGGGUUGCUCCUAGUACGAGAGGACCGGAGUGAACGCACCACUGGUGUUCGGGUUGUCAUGCCAAUGGCAUUGCCCGGUAGCUAAGUGCGGAAAAGAUAAGCGCUGAAAGCAUCUAAGCGCGAAACUUGCCUCAAGAUGAGUCUUCCCUGGGCCUUUAAGGCCCCUGAAGGAACGUUUAAGACUAAGACGUUGAUAGGCUGGGUGUGUAAGUGCAGCGAUGCAUUGAGCUAACCAGUACUAAUGAUCCGUGAGGCUUAACCUU
rnacentral:rRNA from 1 species